rnacentral:rRNA from 1 species
GGGGAAGGGUAGCUUGCUACCUGACCUAGCGGCGGACGGGUGAGUAAUGCUUAGGAAUCUGCCUAUUAGUGGGGGACAACAUUCCGAAAGGAAUGCUAAUACCGCAUACGCCCUACGGGGGAAAGCAGGGGAUCUUCGGACCUUGCGCUAAUAGAUGAGCCUAAGUCAGAUUAGCUAGUUGGUGGGGUAAAGGCCUACCAAGGCGACGAUCUGUAGCGGGUCUGAGAGGAUGAUCCGCCACACUGGGACUGAGACACGGCCCAGACUCCUACGGGAGGCAGCAGUGGGGAAUAUUGGACAAUGGGCGAAAGCCUGAUCCAGCCAUGCCGCGUGUGUGAAGAAGGCCUUUUGGUUGUAAAGCACUUUAAGCGAGGAGGAGGCUACUGAGAUUAAUACUCUUGGAUAGUGGACGUUACUCGCAGAAUAAGCACCGGCUAACUCUGUGCCAGCAGCCGCGGUAAUACAGAGGGUGCGAGCGUUAAUCGGAUUUACUGGGCGUA